UCUCCUGUAGCUCAGUGGUAGAGCGUCCGACCGGUGUGUGGAAGCGAAGGUCAUAGGUUCGACUCCUGUUGGGAGAG